CGGGGCUUGAAGUCUUGUAAUUGGAAUGAUGGGAAUUUAAACCCCUUCCAGAGUAUCAAUUGGAGGGCAAGUCUGGUGCCAGCAGCCGCGGUAAUUCCAGCUCCAAUAGCGUAUAUUAAACUUGUUGCAGUUAAAAAGCUCGUAGUUGAAUUUCUGCUGCAUCGUGGUUCUUCGCCAUGUCGAGUGAUCUUCGUUGUGGCUUAGUUGGGGCAUGUUUUCAUGACUCGACGUUUACUUUGAGAAAAUUAGAGUGCUUCAAGCAGGCUUUUGCCUUGAAUACUUUAGUAUGGAAUAAUGGAGUAGGACUUUGGUUCUAUUUUGUUGGUUUUAGGAGCCGGAGUAAUGGUUAAUAGGAACAGUUGGGGGCAUUCGUAUUUGACUGUCAGAGGUGAAAUUCUUAGAUUUGUCAAAGACGAACUACUGCGAGAGCAUUUGCCAAGGAUGUUUCCAUUAAUCAAGAAC
rnacentral:rRNA from 1 species